CACACACACACACACACACACACACACACACGUCUUUACUUAGGAGACAUACCUAAAAAAAUAAUUAGCAGAUCUCUUGAUGAAAAUUAGAAGGUUUCUAAAAUAAAGAUUCCAAAUUAUUUCCUAACCCAAGUGCCAGAGUUUUGAUGACAAAUCCCAGUGAAGAAAUCAAACCACUGAUUAGUCAAAACAAAACAAAAUAACAACAACGAAAACAAACAAAAGGUGGUGGAGAAAUAGUAGUAAGUCAGUAAUUCAGUUUGGGAUCUGUAACAGUUGUAGCAGAACCUUCCCCUAACGAAUAAAGAUUUCGGGGGAUCAAUCACUGGGCGAGUAGUAGGCAGCACUUCCGGGUGGGAGAGGGGAAGAGAGGAAUCAGGAAAAAGUGACUUGCUUUUGGCCUGGGAGAGCUUGAAGGAAAAAUGUAGCUAAGAGGUCCCUGGUUUCCGUCACCAGAGGAACUUAUCUUCGAAUGGCUUACAAAAUUAGGAUGCUAGUUGCUUCCCCCAACGAUUGCGUUACCUGCUGAUUCUAUGGGAUCACAUGGAGAGGAGGAGAAAGCUGCCGGGAGAACAGUGGUUCAGUGACCAGAAAAUCCUCUUUUCCCCAAGCCACACACAAAACACACGAUUCAGGGGCUGGACUCACACUGAGAAGCUAUUAGCAGCUGAUGCAGGGUGAGGAAAAGAGAGUCAUUGUCUUCAGUGAUGCAGCUGCUGUUGAGAUACCCAGGCACCACAGGUACCAGUUGAUGAGCUCCACAAGUCCAGGUGGGAAGAUCCACAUUUAAUCUGGGCCACACCUUCUGCUGGCAUAUCGAAGACGUAGAAGAAACCUCUCCUCUGCCUGCUUGCCCUCACUCUGGCUAGCAAAUCCAUUCUGGAAUUAGAGCCUACCUCUGUGGGAUUCUGGCAUAUGCAGAAGACCAGAUGAGACAUUUAGCCUUAUGGAAAAACUCUGGAUGCUUGGACCUUCUGUUGAUAGACUGCCAAUAUUGGACUAGCAGGACCACAGCCUGUAAGCCACUCUAAAUAAACCUCUGUGUGUGUGUG